rnacentral:rRNA from 1 species
GAUGAACGCUGGCGGCGUGCCUAAUACAUGCAAGUCGAGCGAACGGACGAGAAGCUUGCUUCUCUGAUGUUAGCGGCGGACGGGUGAGUAACACGUGGAUAACCUACCUAUAAGACUGGGAUAACUUCGGGAAACCGGAGCUAAUACCGGAUAAUAUUUUGAACCGCAUGGCUCAAAAGUGAAAGACGGUCUUGCUGUCACUUAUAGAUGGAUCCGCGCUGCAUUAGCUAGUUGGUAAGGUAACGGCUUACCAAGGCAACGAUGCAUAGCCGACCUGAGAGGGUGAUCGGCCACACUGGAACUGAGACACGGCCCAGACUCCUACGGGAGGCAGCAGUAGGGAAUCUUCCGCAAUGGGCGAAAGCCUGACGGAGCAACGCCGCGUGAGUGAUGAAGGUCUUCGGAUCAUAAAACUCUGUUAUUAGGGAAGAACAUAUGUGUAAGUAACUGUGCACAUCUUGACGGUACCUAAUCAGAAAGCCACGGCUAACUACGUGCCAGCAGCCGCGGUAAUACGUAGGUGGCAAGCGUUAUCCGGAAUUAUUGGGCGUAAAGCGCGCGUAGGCGGUUUUUUAAGUCUGAUGUGAAAGCCCACGGCUCAACCGUGGAGGGUCAUUGGAAACUGGAAAACUUGAGUGCAGAAGAGGAAAGUGGAAUUCCAUGUGUAGCGGUGAAAUGCGCAGAGAUAUGGAGGAACACCAGUGGCGAAGGCGACUUUCUGGUCUGUAACUGACGCUGAUGUGCGAAAGCGUGGGGACCAAACAGGAUUAGAUACCCUGGUAGUCCACGCCGUAAACGAUGAGUGCUAAGUGUUAGGGGGUUUCCGCCCCUUAGUGCUGCAGCUAACGCAUUAAGCACUCCGCCUGGGGAGUACGACCGCAAGGUUGAAACUCAAAGGAAUUGACGGGGACCCGCACAAGCGGUGGAGCAUGUGGUUUAAUUCGAAGCAACGCGAAGAACCUUACCAAAUCUUGACAUCCUUUGACAACUCUAGAGAUAGAGCUUUCCCCUUCGGGGGACAAAGUGACAGGUGGUGCAUGGUUGUCGUCAGCUCGUGUCGUGAGAUGUUGGGUUAAGUCCCGCAACGAGCGCAACCCUUAAGCUUAGUUGCCAUCAUUAAGUUGGGCACUCUAAGUUGACUGCCGGUGACAAACCGGAGGAAGGUGGGGAUGACGUCAAAUCAUCAUGCCCCUUAUGAUUUGGGCUACACACGUGCUACAAUGGACAAUACAAAGGGCAGCGAAACCGUGAGGUCAAGCAAAUCCCAUAAAGUUGUUCUCAGUUCGGAUUGUAGUCUGCAACUCGACUACAUGAAGCUGGAAUCGCUAGUAAUCGUAGAUCAGCAUGCUACGGUGAAUACGUUCCCGGGUCU